AAGCAAAUUUCUUGUAUGCAUAAGCCAUUCAGACUCACUUGCUUCUUCUUAUCUUUAUGACCCAGUGGCUAGUAUUUCAACAAACAUGAAAGCUGGGAGAACUAAUUGAUUUUGAAGAAGUAAAGGUGAAAAAAUGAAUAAGCCUUGCUUGGACAGCAUCCUGCUUUAAGAGUGUGUCAUGCAUUUAUAUUUGCUCCAACGCUUCUCCAGCACCAAGAAUGCCAGUAAAAGCCAACUGGGCAAGUAUGCAUGCCUGGAAGCAGGAGAAAUCUUGGAUAAUCCUCUACCAAGAGAGAACUAGAGUCAAUGAAAAAUAACCAACCACUUUGUUGAUCCAUCUUUGGGAAAUGGCAUUCUGUAUACACUUCAGAAGGUCCUGGACAGGAGCAAUCUCUAGUUGCCCACAGUGCUGACCUCUAUAACAUACAUUUAUGUUAAGUUUUCCUUUUUCUAUCAUUCCCCAAGGUCCUUCACUCCUGCAUCCUUGGAAUGCCUUCUGCACA
rnacentral:lncRNA from 1 species